rnacentral:rRNA from 1 species
GAUGAACGCUGGCGGCGUGCCUAACACAUGCAAGUCGAACGGAUUUUUACGGAAUGCGUCUUCGGACAAAGGAAGUAAAAGUGAGUGGCGGACGGGUGAGUAACGCGUGGGUAACCUGCCCCACACCGGGGGAUAACAGCCAGAAAUGGCUGCUAAUACCGCAUAAGCGCACAGUACCGCAUGGUACGGUGUGAAAAACUCCGGUGGUGUGGGAUGGACCCGCGUCUGAUUAGCUGGUUGG